rnacentral:lncRNA from 1 species
GGGGGAGACGAGAACGAAGCAAGGUCAGCAGUAGCUCAGAAUGGCAGCUGGGACAGUAUUAAUCCAGACACCACGCCUGCUACAUCUCUUCAGUCACCACGCCACCACCGACCCCUUGAGUCUACGCAGCCCAGUGUCCGUCUGUGUCUUGUCGUGGGCGUGACGUUCAGCAGCGGCAGGAACAGCAACGGGAAGCUUGAUCUGCGUGGGUUUUCGUGCGGCGGGGUGACGUGCCGCUGCUGUGAGGUUAUCGGACCACAGCACAGCACAGAGGAGGAGAGGCGUUGACGAUCCAAAGGCCUGACUCCACAACGGUAAUGAGCCUCGUCUACCUUGCACUUAACGGACAACGCUCACUACCAACACUUCUGCCUCUUCCACCGCCGCAAGAUUGGGGAAGGACUCGCUGCCUUGCAUCGCGCACACGGGCUACUCUUAACGACCGCCACCGCCGCUGCUGCCGUUGAGGGAGACUGGCUGGAUGAGUGAGUGAUAGAGGCGAGGCAGGUGUGGUGAGGCGGAGGAUUGGAGACGAGAACGAACAGAUGACGGCAGACACGGAAGAUUCCACUAACCAGGAGUUGGUGAUCCGAAGCCGUGACUGCAGCGAUCCCGUGCGUCCUGCACCAUCAGGAAAGGUACUCUGGCUUCGCACUGCGCCUACAUUGACCGUUACCGCCGCUGCUACCGCUACUCGGAGGGGCACUGCCUCGCAUUGGGCCUUCACUGCUGUCCCGCUAAUACACGUGCCGCCGUCGCCGCUACUGGCACUGAGGGACUUCGCUUCGCAGCGGCCUGGCAAACACCUGCUACACCACCACCACCACUAACUCCACCGCCGCCGCCACCACCGCAGUCUCCUAUUCAACGCUUGCUGCCACUACCACCUCAUUAUGGUGUCACUGUACUUGAAGCUUGGAUCUGUUGUCACUACUGAAUAAUAAAGUGUAAAGAAAUA